UCUCUCUUUGGCCCCGCAUACAGGAGGCACAAAGCUCUGGCUCUGGUUGUUCUGCCUUCCUUGGGACAAGGGCAAGAGCCAAUCACUUACUCUAGCUGUCUGCUGCCUGUAUAGUCAAACUGUUUUAGAUGGUCUGUCAAAAUUUCCAUGGGAAAGCCUCUUUGAGGUGCUCUGCCAGCACAAGGCUAUCAGUGCAGCACACUCACUUUUUUGUGUCUUCACACUGUGCCAUGGUGACAUGCACAGUGAGAGCAAAGACUUUGCUCUCAAAGGUUUUGUUUUCUCAUGAGUGAAGGACCUUUGCACUGUGGUGUUUCUCAUUUAGCAGCUGCCCCAGAGCCCUGCAGAGAAAGCAAUGGGUGAUGCGCAGUGAGCUCGGAGGAUGAGCAUGGCAGGUCAUCGUGGGACAAUGUGGCUUCUUCCUGUUGUCCUCCUUUUCCUUCAGAUGAGGCAGACAGGUUGGACCCUGAGAUCUUCUCUACAUAAAACAUCUGUAAAUUUGGUGCAAAUCUGGUCAAGAACCUAUGCUACUUGAUUGAAAGACUGUAUGGAGUGCAAAUCUCCACAUAGGUGAGUCUGAAGACCUCUGACACUGAUAUUUUCACAGCAACAUGCAAGACAAAAGAGAGUGUUUUCUCAUUGCUUUUUUACCUCAUUCCAGACUGGAAGGACUACCAUAAAUUGAGAUGAGCAUUCAGGCAGUCUUGGGAAACUGAAACACUGAACCAAUGUAAAUAGAAGGCAAUUACGUAAAGAUGAAGCCAAA